GUAUAUGGCCUGAUCCAAAGACCAUUCAGGUCAAUGGGAGUCUUUCCAGUGACUGGAAUGAACUUUGGAUCAGGCUGUAAAUC
rnacentral:pre_miRNA from 1 species